UGAAUACGAGACGCUAAGGCGUCGAAGUAGUGUAUGUCAUACUUCCAAGAAAAGCUUGCACUGUCAUAGAUAAAAAACGCCUGUACCAUAACCGACACAGGUGGGUAGGUAGAGUAUACUAAGGGGCGCGAGAUAACUCUCUCUAAGGAACUCGGCAAAAUAACUCCGUAACUUCGGGAGAAGGAGUGCCUUAUUCGUAAGGUUGCAAUAACAAGAUCCAAGCAACUGUUUAUCAAAAACACAGGUCUCCGCUAAGUCGUAAGACGAUGUAUGGGGGCUGACGCCUGCCCAGUGCCAGAAGGUUAAAGAAGUUGGUUAGCAAUUGCGAAGCUGAUAACUGAAGCCCUGGUGAACGGCGGCCGUAACAAUAACGGUCCUAAGGUAGCGAAAUUCCUUGUCGGGUAAGUUCCGACCCGCACGAAAGGCGUAAUGAUUUGGAUACUGUCUCGGAGAGGGGCUCGGUGAAAUAGACUUGUCUGUGAAGAUGCGGACUACCUGCACCAGGACAGAAAGACCCUAUGAAGCCUUACUGUAACUUGAAAUUGAAAUUGGACUUUAUUCGCGCAGUAUAGGUGGGAGGCGUUGAUUAUAAUCUUGUGGGAUUAUUGGAGCCAUCAGUGAGAUACCACUCUUGUAAUGUUAGAUUUCUAACUUUGAAUCAUUAUCUGGUCAAAGAACAGUUUCAGGCGGGCAGUUUGACUGGGGCGGUCGCCUCCUAAACGGUAACGGAGGCGUACAAAGGUUUCCUCUGAACGGUUAGAAAUCGUAUCUAGAGUGUAAAGGCAUAAGGAAGCUUGACUGUGAGACCUACAAGUCGAGCAGGGACGAAAGUCGGUCUUAGUGAUCUGACGGUACUGAGUGGAAAGGCCGUCACUCAACGGAUAUAAGUUACUCUAAGGAUAACAGGCUGAUCUCCCCCAAGAGUUCACAUCGACGGGGAGGUUUGGCACCUCGAUGUCGGCUCAUCGCAUCCUGGGGCGGUAGUACGUCCCAAGGGUUGGGCUGUUCGCCCAUGAAAGCGGUACGCGAGCUGGGUUCAGAACGUCGUGAGACAGUUCGGUCCAUAUCCGGUGUAGGCGUUAGAAUAUUGAGAGGAGCCUUCUUUAGUACGAGAGGACCGAGAAGGACAUACCUCUGGUGUACCAGUUAUCGUGCCAACGGUAAACGCUGGGUAGCUAUGUAUGGAGUGGAUAACCGCUGAAAGCAUCUAAGUGGGAAGCCCACCUCAAGAUAAGUA
rnacentral:rRNA from 1 species